rnacentral:rRNA from 1 species
UGAACCUGCGGAAGGAUCAUUGUCGAU